rnacentral:rRNA from 1 species
GUGGGGAAUCUUCCACAAUGGACGAAAGUCUGAUGGAGCAACGCCGCGUGAGUGAAGAAGGGUUUCGGCUCGUAAAGCUCUGUUGUCGGGGACGAAUGUGCAGUAUUUGAAUAAAGUACUGCAAUGACGGUACCUGACGAGGAAGCCACGGCUAACUACGUGCCAGCAGCCGCGGUAAUACGUAGGUGGCAAGCGUUGUCCGGAAUUAUUGGGCGUAAAGGGAGCGCAGGCGGGAAGGUAAGUCGGUCUUAAAAGUGCGGGGCUCAACCCCGUGAUGGGAUCGAAACUAUCUUUCUUGAGUGCAGGAGAGGAAAGUGGAAUUCCUAGUGUAGCGGUGAAAUGCGUAGAUAUUAGGAGGAACACCAGUGGCGAAGGCGACUUUCUGGACUGUAACUGACGCUGAGGCUCGAAAGCCAGGGGAGCGAACGGGAUUAGAAACCCCUGUAGUCC